rnacentral:rRNA from 1 species
UAAUACGGAGGGGGCGAGCGUUAUUCGGAAUUAUUGGGCGUAAAGGGCGCGUAGGCGGCUUGCUAAGUCAAAGGUGAAAUCCCUCGGCUCAACUGAGGAACUGCCUUUGAAACUAGCGAGCUUGAGGCCGGGAGGGGGUAGCGGAAUUCCCAGUGUAGCGGUGAAAUGCGUAGAUACUGGGAGGAACACCAGUGGCGAAGGCGGCUACCUGGACCGGUACUGACGCUGAGGCGCGAAAGCGUGGGUAGCAAACAG